AUUGAACGCUGGCGGCAGGCCUAACACAUGCAAGUCGAACGGUAGCACAGAGAGCUUGCUCUCGGGUGACGAGUGGCGGACGGGUGAGUAAUGUCUGGGAAACUGCCUGAUGGAGGGGGAUAACUACUGGAAACGGUAGCUAACACCGCAUAACGUCGCAAGACCAAAGAGGGGGACCUUCGGGCCUCUUGCCAUCGGAUGUGCCCAGAUGGGAUUAGCUUGUUGGUGAGGUAAAGGCUCACCAAGGCGACGAUCCCUAGCUGGUCUGAGAGGAUGACCGGCCACACUGGAACUGAGACACGGUCCAGACUCCUACGGGAGGCAGCAGUGGGGAAUAUUGCACAAUGGGCGCAAGCCUGAGGCAGCCAUGCCGCGUGUGUGAAGAAGGCCUUCGGGUUGUAAAGCACUUUCAGCGGGGAGGAAGGCGGUGAGUUUAAUAAGCUCACCGAUUGACGUUACCCGCAGAAGAAGCACCGGCUAACUCCGUGCCAGCCGCCGCCGUAA
rnacentral:rRNA from 1 species